GACGAACGCUGGCGGCGUGCCUAACACAUGCAAGUCGAGCGAAUGAAGUUCCUUCGGGACUGGAUUUAGCGGCGGACGGGUGAGUAACACGUGGGCAACCUGCCUCAUAGAGGGGAAUAGCCUUCCGAAAGGGAGAUUAAUACCGCAUAAGAUUGUAGUAUCGCAUGAUACAGCAAUUAAAGGAGCAAUCCGCUAUGAGAUGGGGCGGCGGCGCCUUAGCUAGUUGGGGAGGUAACGGCCCACCAAGGCGACGAGGCGUAGCCGACGUGAGAGGGUGAUCGGCCACAUUGGGACUGAGACACGGCCGAGACUCCUACGGGAGGCAGCAGGGGGGAAUAUUGCACAAUGGGGGAAACCCUGAUGCAGCAACGCCGCGUGAGUGAUGACGGCCUUCGGGUUGUAAAGCUCUGUCGUCAGGGACGAUAAUGACGGUACCUGAGGAGGAAGCCACGGCUAACUACGUG
rnacentral:rRNA from 1 species